GAUGAAGAACGUAGCGAAAUGCGAUAAGUAAUGCGAAUUGCAGAAUUCCGUGAGUCAUCGAAUCUUUGAACGCACAUUGCGCCCUCUGGUAUUCCGGGGGGCAUGCCUGUCCGAGCGUCAUUACAACCCUCAAGCUCAGCUUGGUGUUGGGCCCCGCCGCCCCGGCGGGCCCUAAAGUCAGUGGCGGUGCCGUCCGGCUCCGAGCGUAGUAAUUCUUCUCGCUCUGGAGGUCCGGUCGUGUGCUCGCCAGCAACCCCCAAUUUUUUUCAGGUUGACCUCGGAUCAGGUAGGGAUACCCGCUGAACUUAAGCAUAUCAAUAAGCGGAGGA
rnacentral:misc_RNA from 1 species